rnacentral:lncRNA from 1 species
CGCGGGCCGGGAGCUGCGCGCCGCCGAGCCCAGCAAUGGGGUACCAGUGCCGAGACCAAAAGCUAUUUUUGCCCACCCUGUGGGGCAGGUGGUUCCUGCCCAGGAAGAUUCCUGCAGCAACUCUGUACCUCCAGGCUGCUUCAGCUGCAGCUCUUGAGCCUCAUCCUUGCACCCUCCCUAAGUGCUGCAAGAGGAGUGAGGAUUUACCAGUGAAUUCCCCAUGGAGCAGAAGAUAGAGCUGUGUGUCCUUGCUGAAGAAAAUGAAGAUAUUUACCCAGGACCAACAAGGGAUCAAGGCAAGAUGAGAGUAGCUUCAACAUCAGCAUCCUCACCUGCCUCUCUUGGCUUCACCCCUCACCCAGGGUGUUCCUGUGUACAGUUUUGCAUGCCCUAGGUAAGCUUUGUUUUGAGAUGAGGCUAUAAGUCUAUAAGGCUGGAA